rnacentral:rRNA from 1 species
UACAGAGGGUGCGAGCGUUAAUCGGAAUUACUGGGCGUAAAGCGCACGUAGGCGGCUUUGCAAGUCGGUUGUGAAAUCCCCGGGCUCAACCUGGGAACUGCAUCCGAGACUGCAUUGCUAGAGUAUGGGAGAGGAAAGCGGAAUUUCUGGUGUAGCAGUGAAAUGCGUAGAUAUUCGGAAGAACACCAGUGGCGAAGGCGACUGACUGGACAAGUAUUGACGCUGAGGUGCGAAAGCGUGGGGAGCAAACAGG